rnacentral:rRNA from 1 species
CGUGUAGGCGGGACAGCAAGUCGGAUGUGAAAGCCCUGGGCUCAACCCAGGAAGUGCAUUCGAAACUACUGUUCUUGAGUAUGACAGAGGAGAGCGGAAUUCCCGGUGUAGCGGUGAAAUGCGUAGAUAUCGGGAAGAACACCUGUGGCGAAGGCGGCUCUCUGGGUCACAACUGACGCUGAGGCGCGAAAGCUAGGGGAGCAAACG